UACGUAGGGGGCAAGCGUUGUCCGGAUUUAUUGGGCGUAAAGAGCGUGUAGGCGGCCUUACAGGUCAGCUGUGAAAACUCGAGGCUCAACCUCGAGACGUCGGUUGAAACCGUAUGGCUAGAGUCCGGAAGAGGAGAGUGGAAUUCCCGGUGUAGCGGUGAAAUGCGCAGAUAUCAGGAGGAACACCCGUAGCGAAGGCGGCACUCUGGGCCGAUACUGACACUGAGGAGCGAAAGCGUGGGGAGCGAACAGG
rnacentral:rRNA from 1 species